rnacentral:rRNA from 1 species
GACGUAGGGCGCGAGCGUUGUCCGGAUUAUUGGGCGUAAAGAGCUCGUAGGCGGUCUGUCGCGUCGCUCGUGAAAACUUGGGGCUUAACCCCAAGCCUGCGGUCGAUACGGGCAGACUUGAGUUCGGCAGGGGAGACUGGAAUUCCUGGUGUAGCGGUGAAAUGCGCAGAUAUCAGGAGGAACACCGGUGGCGAAGGCGGGUCUCUGGGCCGAUACUGACGCUGAGGAGCGAAAGCGUGGGGAGCGAACAGG